UCUCUGGUAGUCCAGUGGUUAGGACUUGGUGCUUCCACUGCCAGGGCCCCAGAUUCGAUCCCUGGUCAGAGAA